rnacentral:rRNA from 1 species
UACGAAGGGGGCUAGCGUUGCUCGGAAUUACUGGGCGUAAAGCGCACGUAGGCGGAUUGUUAAGUCGGGGGUGAAAUCCUGGAGCUCAACUCCAGAACUGCCUUCGAUACUGGCGAUCUUGAGUCCGGAAGAGGUGAGUGGAACUCCUAGUGUAGAGGUGGAAUUCGUAGAUAUUAGGAAGAACACCAGUGGCGAAGGCGGCUCACUGGUCCGGUACUGACGCUGAGGUGCGAAAGCCAGGGGAGCAAACGGG